ACCGGCUCAGAUGUACCGCGUGUUCGUAUCAUCGACUUUGGACUGAGCUGCUUUGUUAAGGAGCAGUCGCAGUACCGCGUCUUCUAUGGUACAGAAAUUUACUCCCCUCCCGAGUGGUACGGGCGCAGUUGCUACAGGUGUGGACCCACCACGGUAUGGCAAAUGGGAGUGGUUCUGUACGAAGCGCUUCAUGCCGGGGACUUUAACACCACGAGCUUCCUCAAAAAGCGCCUGAAAUUCAAAAGACAUCUGUCCAAAAACUGCCGGGAUUUCUUGGACGCGUGUUUAACCAAAGUCCCGGAGACGCGGCCGACACUGGAGGAGCUACAGCAUCACACUUGGCUGAGAUAAGCCUAUCACACACACACACAAACACACACAAUUCAGACGUUAUCAUUUAUGUGUGAUGUAUGAAUUACCUUUCUUUUUUUCAGGAAAUAAUUUUUUUUAAUUGGCCCACUUUAAAUUUCAGUGUUUUGGAAUUCCUGUAACCCCCCCCAGCCAUCCCAGGAAAGGGGAUCUCUCUUUGAAUGGGCUUUCCCGAGGUUUCUUCCCGUCAGUCUGGCCCCCCAGGGGAGUUUUUCCUCGUCUUCAUAGAGAGCUUGGGCUGGCUCAGGAGCUCCAUCAAAACUGUCUUUAUUUAAUUACUCUAAUGUAAUCAUAUACUUUAAAGUAAUCAAAUAAAAGACAGUAAAAAUCUGAAGACUUGAAGUAAACUUCCAUUAAAAUAAAACUUGUUUAAUUCAU